AGUGAACGCUGGCGGUGUGCUUAACACAUGCAAGUCGAACGAGAACGGACUAAAGUUUACUUAGUUGUCAGCUAAGUGGCGCACGGGUGAGUAAUGCGUGGGAAUCUGCCCUAUAGUACGGAAUAGCCGUUGGAAACGACGAUUAAUACCGUAUAUCUUCCGAGGAAGAAAGACUUGUCGCUAUAGGAUGAGCCCACGUUAGAUUAGUUUGUUGGUAGGGUAACGGCCUACCAAGACUGCGAUCUAUAGCUGGUUUGAGAGGAUGAUCAGCCACACUGGAACUGAGAUACGGUCCAGACUUCUACGGAAGGCAGCAGUGAGGAAUAUUGGACAAUGGGCGAAAGCCUGAUCCAGCAAUACCGCGUGAGUGAUGAAGGCUUUAGGGUUGUAAAACUCUUUCAGUAGGGAUAAUAAUGAUGUUACCUACAGAAGAAGCACCGGCUAAACUCCGUGCCAGCAGCCGCGGUAAU
rnacentral:rRNA from 1 species